rnacentral:rRNA from 1 species
GAUGAACGCUAGCGGGAGGCUUAACACAUGCAAGUCGAGGGGCAGCAUAGGGUAGCAAUACUCUGAUGGCGACCGGCAAACGGGUGAGUAACGCGUAUGUAACCUACCCUGUACAGGGGGAUAACCCGGAGAAAUUCGGACUAAUAUCCCAUAACAAUAUCCGGGGGCAUCUUUGGAUAUUUAAAGUUCCGGCGGUACGGGAUGGGCAUGCGUAACAUUAGCUAGUUGGUAAGGUAACGGCUUACCAAGGCUUUGAUGUUUAGGGUCCUGAGAGGGUGGUCCCCCACACUGGUACUGAGACACGGACCAGACUCCUACGGGAGGCAGCAGUGAGGAAUAUUGGUCAAUGGGCGCAAGCCUGAACCAGCCAUCCCGCGUGCAGGAAGACGGCGCUAUGCGUUGUAAACUGCUUUUCCAGGGAGAGAAACUUGCGCACGUGUUGCGCAAUUGACGGUACCCUGGGAAUAAGCAUCGGCUAACUCCGUG